UACGUAGGGUGCAAGCGUUGUCCGGAAUUAUUGGGCGUAAAGAGCUCGUAGGCGGUCUGUCGCGUCGGAUGUGAAAGCCCGGGGCUUAACCCCGGGUCUGCAUUCGAUACGGGCAGACUAGAGUGUGGUAGGGGAGAUCGGAAUUCCUGGUGUAGCGGUGAAAUGCGCAGAUAUCAGGAGGAACACCGGUGGCGAAGGCGGAUCUCUGGGCCAUUACUGACGCUGAGGAGCGAAAGCGUGGGGAGCAAACAGG
rnacentral:rRNA from 1 species